GACGAACGCUGGCGGCGUGCUUAACACAUGCAAGUCGAACGGAAAGGCCCUGCUUUUGUGGGGUGCUCGAGUGGCGAACGGGUGAGUAACACGUGAGUAACCUGCCCUUGACUUUGGGAUAACUUCAGGAAACUGGGGCUAAUACCGGAUAGGAGCUCCUGCUGCAUGGUGGGGGUUGGAAAGUUUCGGCGGUUGGGGAUGGACUCGCGGCUUAUCAGCUUGUUGGUGGGGUAGUGGCUUACCAAGGCUUUGACGGGUAGCCGGCCUGAGAGGGUGACCGGCCACAUUGGGACUGAGAUACGGCCCAGACUCCUACGGGAGGCAGCAGUGGGGAAUAUUGCACAAUGGGCGGAAGCCUGAUGCAGCAACGCCGCGUGCGGGAUGACGGCCUUCAGGUUGUAAACCGCUUUCGCCUGUGACGAAGCGUGAGUGAUGGUAAUGGGUAAAGAAGCACCGGCUAACUACGUG
rnacentral:rRNA from 1 species